GACAGUGUGGCAUAGUGGUCUGAUGCUGGACUAGGACUCCAGGAGACCAGUGUUUGAAUCCCUGCUCAGCCA